UAGCAUGAAGUCAAACAG
rnacentral:rRNA from 1 species